rnacentral:rRNA from 1 species
GACGAACGCUGGCGGCGUGCUUAACACAUGCAAGUCGAACGGAGAGGCCCUGCUUUUGUUGGCUGCUCGAGUGGCGAACGGGUGAGUAACACGUGAGUAACCUGCCCUUUACUUUGGGAUAACUUCAGGAAACUGUGGCUAAUACCGGAUAGGAGCUCCUGCUGCAUGGUGUGGGUUGGAAAGUUUCGGCGGUUGGAGAUCGACUGGCGGCUUAUCAGCUUGUUCGUGGGGUAGUGGCUUACCAAGGCUUUGACGGAUAGCCGGCCUGGGGGGGGGACCGGCCACAAGGGGACUGAGAGACGGCGCAGACUGGUACGGGAGGCAGCAGUGGGGAGUCUUGCACAGCGGGCGGGAGCCAGAGGCAGAGACGUCGGGUGCGGGAUGACGGGCUUCGGGUGGUAAACCGCUUUCGCCUGUGACGAAGCGUGCGGGACGGUAAUGGGUAAAGAAGCACCGGCUAACUACGUG